GAUGAACGCUAGCUACAGGCUUAACACAUGCAAGUCGAACGGCACCCACCUCCGGGUGGAAGCGAGUGGCGAACGGCUGAGUAACACGUGGAGAACCUGCCCCCUCCCCCGGGAUAGCCGCCCGAAAGGACGGGUAAUACCGGAUACCCCGGGGUGCCGCAUGGCGCCCCGGCUAAAGCCCCGACGGGAGGGGAUGGCUCCGCGGCCCAUCAGGUAGACGGCGGGGUGACGGCCCACCGUGCCGACAACGGGUAGCCGGGUUGAGAGACCGACCGGCCAGAUUGGGACUGAGACACGGCCCAG
rnacentral:rRNA from 1 species